AACCCAUGGUGAAGGCACCUUCUUAGUAAGUCCUUGCAUCUCUCCCAUGCAUCGUAAAGUGUUUCUAAAUCCAUCUGCACAAAAGAAGAGAUAUCAUUAUGUAAUU
rnacentral:snoRNA from 1 species